AGAGCUCCUGCCUACAAUCCCCCAGUGAGGAGCUAGGGUGUGGCUCAGUGGUAGAGCGCCUGUCCAGAAUCCCCCAGUGAGGGACUGGGGUGUGACUCAGUAGUAAUACAUUUCAGAGUAUGUGUGGCCCCAGAUUCUACCCACAGUAUUCCCCCUGCCAAAAAAGAAAAAAGUUGAGCAGACUUGUUUUGACUCUCACACCUGGCACAGAUCAUAGUGUCUCCUACCUAUCAUUGUUCUGAUGAUGUGGCUGGUUUGGGGUCCCCUGGGGAAGCAACUGGUCUAUGGGCAAGGCUUCUGGGCAGGACAAGCAGAGGGACUUCUUGUCUGUUGUCAGUGGGAUGAACUAGUUUUGGACUUCCUAGUCUCCAUGCAUCUGUGCCAUACUUAGCACUGUGUAGAACAGGUGCCUUAGAGCCCAGAAGGAAGGGCCCGCCCACUUCUGUGACUUACAGGGACCUGAGCUAGGCAGUGCAGGCAAACAAAGAUGCUUCUGGUUUUGUUUUGUGGUGGAAAGAUUUUUUUGUUUUGUUUUUUUUUUUGUUUGGUUGGUGGGUUUGGAUUUUUUUUUUUUUUAAUUCUCUAGACAAGGUCUAAUAGCACAAGCUAGCUUAGAACUUCUGGCAGUCCUCCUGCCUCAGCCUCCUGAGUGUUAGGAUGGUGGGUGUAUCAGGUGUAUGGCACCAUGCUUGGCUGGUCCAUUAUUUUGUUAGGUUAGUUGGGAAUGAAAUCGUCGGACAUACAGUUCAAGCUGACCUAGCAUGUGUGCGCACACACACACACACACACACACACACACACACACACACACAAAUGCAUAAAUCAA